AGUAUUGGUAUUUGUCAUCUACCUGCAAUCAUCCUCCCAACAAUCAACAAUAUUAAGUGAGAGAAAACAAUUGUACACAAGAUCUCAAUUGUACAGAGUUUCAGCAAAUAUAAUUUGUAAAUUCCUAAGAAAUUAAUUAAUUAGCCAUUAUUCAAAGCAACAAUAAUGACAAAUCAAAGUGUUUCUCUGGGACAUUUUAUCAGAUAACUUACCAGCGUAUGCCAUAAAUAACAAACUUUCAAUUCCUAGCA
rnacentral:misc_RNA from 1 species